rnacentral:rRNA from 1 species
AGACAGCAGCCGCCACGGUAAUACAGAGGGUGCGAGCGUUAAUCGGAUUUACUGGGCGUAAAGCGUGCGUAGGCGGCUUCUUAAGUCGGAUGUGAAAUCCCUGAGCUUAACUUAGGAAUUGCAUUCGAUACUGGGAAGCUAGAGUAUGGGAGAGGAUGGUAGAAUUCCAGGUGUAGCGGUGAAAUGCGUAGAGAUCUGGAGGAAUACCGAUGGCGAAGGCAGCCAUCUGGCCUAAUACUGACGCUGAGGUACGAAAGCAUGGGGAGCAAACAGGAUUAGAGACCCCUGUAGUCCCUGUCUCUUAUAA